rnacentral:rRNA from 1 species
GACGAACGCUGGCGGCGUGCUUAACACAUGCAAGUCGAACGAAGUGGGAACGGGUGAGUAAUACGGGGGUAACCUCCCUCCUUUUUGGGAUAAGCCUUGGAAACGGGGUCUAAACCGAAUAGAUGGGCUCGCGGCCUAUGAGCUUGUUGGUGGGGUGAUGGCCUAACAAGGCGGUGACGGGUAGCCGGCCUGGCAGGUGGACCGGCCACAUUGGGACUGAGAUACGGCCCAGACUCCUACGGGAGGCAUCAGUGGGGGAUAUUGCACAAUGGGCGAAAGCCUGAUGCAGCGACGCCGCGUGAGUGAAGAAGGUUUUCGGAUCGUAAAACUCUGUUGUUAGAGAAGCGGUAUCUAACCAGAAAGCCACGGCUAACUACGUGCCAGCAGCCGCGGUAAUAC